rnacentral:lncRNA from 1 species
UGCGGGCGCUCGCCUUAGCGAAAUACUGAUGUUUCCUGCUUGAGGUGGGGGAGGGGCGUCUUCUCUUCCCGCGUCCGGAACCCCGCGUCCCGAGUUCCCCGUGGUUCUCUCGCACCCAUCGCUCGGCGGCUUUACGCCACAGGGUGAAUUGCGACCUCACCCUGCUCCCCCUGGCUGGACUCUAGCUUCGCCCAGGCCCCCUCCAGAAGCAUGAGUCGGACCUUGUUUCAACAAGCAGAGUAUGUCUGAGUCAGACAUUUUGAGGCACAGACUCAGCCAGAGUGCUGAUCUUAUGAUUGAUGCGAUGACUUCAUUGGGCAAACUGGACUGCUGAUAUAUUCUUGAAGUGUUUUCAAGUGGAUCGAGCUGCCGCUGCUAACCUGUGAACUGAACUGCCAAUUUCCAGACAACACAAACAGGAGUUGCUCCAAAGAACCUUUCUAAACAGGUCCACUUCCCCCCUGUAUCCUUUCUUUUCCACUACCUCUGGUGGGUGAUGGGCUACAAGAGAGGUUAAAAUGUUUAAAACCCAUCAUUAAAAAUAGGUUUUUAGGGCUGGUGAGAUGGCUCAGUGGGUAAGAGCACCCAACUGCUCUUCUGAAGGUCCGAAGUUCAAAUCCCAGCAACCACAUGGUGGCUCACAACCAUCUGUAAC